CUCCGUAGGUGAACCUGCGGAGGGAUCAUUACACAAAUAUGAAGGCUGCUGGCUGGAAUCUCUCGGGGUUACAGCCUUGCUGAAUUAUUCACCCUUGUCUUUUGCGUACUUCUUGUUUCCUUGGUGGGUUCGCCCACCACUAGGACAAACAUAAACCUUUUGUAAUUGCAAUCAGCGUCAGUAACAAAUUAAUAAUUACAACUUUCAACAACGGAUCUCUUGGUUCUGGCAUCGAUGAAGAACGCAGCGAAAUGCGAUAAGUAGUGUGAAUUGCAGAAUUCAGUGAAUCAUCGAAUCUUUGAACGCACAUUGCGCCCUUUGGUAUUCCAAAGGGCAUGCCUGUUCGAGCGUCAUUUGUACCCUCAAGCUUUGCUUGGUGUUGGGCGUCUUGUCUCUAGCUUUGCUGGAGACUCGCCUUAAAGUAAUUGGCAGCCGGCCUACUGGUUUCGGAGCGCAGCACAAGUCGCACUCUCUAUCAGCAAAGGUCUAGCAUCCAUUAAGCCUUUUUUCAACUUUUGAUCUCGAUGAUCAGGUAGGGAUACCCGCUGAACUUAAGCAUAUCAAUAA
rnacentral:rRNA from 1 species